rnacentral:rRNA from 1 species
AUUGAACGCUGGCGGCAUGCUUUACACAUGCAAGUCGAACGGCAGCACGGGUGCUUGCACCUGGUGGCGAGUGGCGAACGGAUGAGUAAUACAUCGGAACAUGUCCUGUCGUGGGGGAUAGCCCGGCGAAAGCCGGAUUAAUACCGCAUCCGAUCUACGGAUGAAAGUGGGGGACCUUCGGGCCUCGCGAUAUUGGGUUGGCCGAUGGCUGAUUAGCUAGUUGGUGGGGUAAAGGCCUACCAAGGCGACGGUCAGUAGCUGGUCUGAGAGGACGACCAGCCACACUGGGACUGAUACACGGCCCAGACGCCUACUGGGGGCAGCAGUGGGGAAGUUUGGACAAUGGUCGAAGGCCUGAUCCAGCAAUGCCGCGUGUGUGAAGAAGGCCUUCGGGUUGUAGAGCACUUUUGUCCGGAAAGAAAUCCUUGUCUCUAAUACAGUCGGGGGAUGACGGUACCGGAAGAAUAAGCACCGGCUAACUACGUG